GAUGAACGCUGGCGGCGUGCCUAAUACAUGCAAGUCGAGCGAACAGACGAGGAUCUUGCUCCUCUGACGUUAGCGGCGGACGGGUGAGUAACACGUGGAUAACCUCCCUAUAAGACUGGGAUAACUUCGGGAAACCGGAGCUAAUACCGGAUAAUAUAUUGAACCGCAUGGUUCAAUAGUGAAAGACGGUUUUGCUGUCACUUAUAGAUGGAUCCGCGCCGCAUUAGCUAGUUGGUAAGGUAACGGCUUACCAAGGCGACGAUGCGUAGCCGACCUGAGAGGGUGAUAGGCCACACUGGAACUGAGACACGGUCCAGACUCCUACGGGAGGCAGCAGUAGGGAAUCUUCCGCAGUGGGCGAAAGCUUGACGGAGCAACGCCGCGUGAGUGAUGAAGGUCUUCGGAUCGUAAAACUCUGUUAUUAGGGAAGAACAAAUGUGUAAGUAACUAUGCACGUAUUGACGGUACCUAAUCAGAAAGCCACGGCUAACUACGUG
rnacentral:rRNA from 1 species